rnacentral:misc_RNA from 1 species
CGAGCCCUUUUUUCGGGGGCUCGGUAUUGGGAGAGGAGUGCACCCGCUUGCCCUCCCUCCCGAAAUCCAAUGGCGGAAAGCCCCACGUGCCCCGGCGUAGUAAGUUUUCUUUCGCUCGGAACGCGAGGCGAUCCUGCCGCGAACCCCCCAAUUAUUUCCAGGUUGACCUCGGAUCAGGUAGGGAUACCCGCUGAACUUAA